rnacentral:misc_RNA from 1 species
CUCAAGCCUCUCAUCAUCCACACAUGAUACUAGAGCAGGGUUGUCAUUGCUGAUGGAUGCAAUUAUACCCGUGUGUGGAUCCUCUCCAUCAACAUCAAAAACUGUGAAUUCAGGUCCAAAGUCACAAAACACAGAACCAAAAAGACCUCUAACUUCAGCCUUAAUGAAAGAGAUAGGCGGCUUAUGACUAUGGCAGUAGUCAUUAAACUCAAUGGCCUUCUUAAGAUUGAUAUCAGUAAAAACAACAGCCUGCAUCAACAAAAAACACGGAUCUAUACAAAAUAAAAUAAGAAAAAAUAUUGCAUAUAACACAUCCACAAGAAAGAAAUAACAUUGACAAAUACAUACAAAAAGGAAAUUAAAAAUAUAAGAAAAAUAAAUAACUAACUAAAGCUAAUAUAAGCUUGAAUUUCUCCCUUUCCCAAAGAUACAUAAACAAAAAGAGCAAUAUUAUUGCAAUUGCAACUUAUUUACAAUUGUCAGAUAAAAUCUAUUAUCCUUGGGACUCAUUCAUGUCCACACCCAUUUUUCACAUUUUCAUAGAUUUCUCCAGCAAUUUGCAAUACUCUAGUGAAAGUUACCAAGGAAACAUGUGAAUCAUCAAAGCCCCAAAAAGAGAAAGGGAGAGAGAGCAGAAAAGAAGAGGAGGGGGGAUGCAAUAACACUGCUUAUUUAGAAUUUCAAACACAUUCUGUACAUUUGACAUGUGCGAAACUCCUAUAAUUUUGCUAAUUAAUAAUUCUAUUUCAUUAUCAGUAGGCUCAGGCCUCUCUGAAAUUGAGCUCCUUAAUAUAUGGAAGUCCAUAAAUAAACAGAAUAAUCUUAUAAUGCUGGGCCACAUAACAACAUGAAGCAAAUGCAAAAAGAAAAGUAAGUUUCUGUCUCCCUUUACUCUUUUGAAUUUCAAAGUUUGAAACUUCAGUUUCAGUUAGAGGUGCUGAAGUGAAGAUUCACUUAAUUCUGAUCCAACUAUUCAGUCAGACAAGAACAAGUUGAACUAUAUUUUACAGCCAACAGCAUAUCUCUACAGUUUUGCAAGUCAGUCUCCCAAAUUAAUGGUUUCUGAUUCAGGUGCCCUAAAAGCCCUAGAACAAAAGGGAAUAGCCAUUAAUUAAAGGCGUAAUCAUGGUUUUAAAUAACAGCCGUUACAUAAUGCAAUGUCCAUUAUUUACAGUUAUUGAGGGCGCUCGUUACAGUUACCCAUUAUAUAUAGACAAAAAAAAAUUGCAAGUGCAAUGGCCGUUGCACCCAUUAGUUAAAGGUAAAAGCUGUUAUUUGCCGUUAAGUAACGGUAACGGCCAUUACUCGUGUGGAAUUCC